GGCUCAAAAGCAAAAUCUCUCUGACAAGUAUCGGAGCCCAUCGCAGCCCUGAGCCAGCAAUGCCGAAAUGUUCUAGUAAGAUCACGUAAUAUAUUAAUGCAUGGGAGCACAGAGCAUCCAGUCCUGCGACGAUAUUAUGCAACAGAGAAUUCCAAAAUAGCCAAGCUAUUUUCUAGAAGUGGUAGAACUCAGACUGAAAAGAAAUCUGGUUUCACAUCUGGGUUCUGCCACAGCCUUCCUGUGUGACCAGAGCCAUGUCACUCAGACUCGGUGGCCCACUUUCCCCAACUGCACAGUGAGGAAAACAACAUAUUUAUUUACUCAGUUUCUUAGGACAAAAGCAUGAGGGAAGAGGAUGGGAAGGUUGUGAAUGACCACACCGCAAGGAAAGACAGUGAUGUCCACUCCAACUUGUCUGUUUAUUCUGGAACUCUUUGGGAAGAGAGAUAUUUGAAAGCAGUAUGGAGCACAAAGAGAUGCUGAUGCCUUUGGGUCUAUAGCAAUGGAUCUAACUCCAGCCUUUUCCACCCUGGACCUCAAAUCCUUUUACAGGAAAGAGCUACUUGAUUUCUCCUAUUUUAUAGCCAGGAAAAUUGAGGCAGAAGAUGGAGAAAUGAUUAAUAGCGCAGAGGCACCUUAUGUGUUUCUGAAGCCUUUGCCAAAGCCACUGGGCAGGUGACCAUGAAGCUACAGUGAGUUUCCCACCCGAGCUGCCUGCAGAGCCGGUUAGCAGAGACGGCACCACGGGCCAAAGUCGUGACAAAAAGCCACGCAGUCCCUGGGGGCAGGAGGCAGCCCCGACCUUGCCGGGGUGGGCCCGGGCAGUUGCUUCACAUGUAACCAGGCACCCCGAGGAAUGAGGGAAGGAGUUUGGUGAAGACAACGAGAAAGAGGAGGUGGUGGUGUAGGUUGUGAGAGCAGAUGAAACAGCUUUGACACAGGCAAAAGAAACUUCAUGUUUGGAAUUUCAAAAAAUCGACUCAACAUUUCUGUCACAGCAGAUAAACAUCUAUCUGUUUUAUUACUGGGAAUCAUCUUUUUUUCUGAUUAUAAAUAGAAACAACAUAUUACUUCAUGUUAUUUCCUCUGGGGUUUUUUGGGGGUAGAUAUGUGUGGGUGGUAAACAGCUUGCGAAGAACUUCUUGUUGUUAUUAUUAUUAGUCAAUAUGAAUAACAGGAGGGGAGCGUCUGGGGUUGUGAUAUACCAGGUACUGUGUAGCCACAAACCAAAUAUAGGUCAUUCCCUCAAACGCAUCUGCUGUGAAGGAAGGACAGCACGGCUGAACCACUAACCUAUAAUUGUGAUUGUCGUUGCUUUGUGGUAGUGUCUGUAUUGCCAUAAGCAUUUUUCUUGCAUAAAAGACGACUUAGGCAGAGACACAAAGAACUCAAAAUCUAGAAGCUAACAAGAUCUCUGACCAUUGACAAGUAGCUAGACAGAAUUGUCAGUGCACUUAUUUCAGAAAGCUGAAAGCGCCUUUGCAAACUCCUACUGUGUCGUGGUAACAGCUAGCAAUGGAAACAUGCCGCGUUAGCUGUGGUACGCACAUAUCACAAGGCACAGUCCCUCGUCAAAGAAUUUAUAGCCUGAACAGGCGAUUAAGAUACAAAGUCUGAUAGGAAAUACAAGCACUGAGCUCAGGUUUUCUGGCAUUUAAUGCUCUGUCUUCUCGUCUGAAGGACCUGAGCUGCCCUUGCUUGCCUGGGGCAUCGCCAGCAGCAUGCAGCAAAGCUGAUUGGCUCCGGUACCCGAGGCACCAUCCUGCAAGGAACUGGCCUGGCUUUGGGGCAGAAGGGGAAGGAAGCACUGGCUGUAGCAGGGACUCUGGAGCUGGAGCUGCUGAGCACCCACCUGCACUUCUGCACACCUGGGUGGGCUCCAGGUGUGGCUGAGACUGCCAGCAAGGACGGGAGUGCCAGUAGGGUCACCAAGCCCAAGGAAGCCAGUGGUCCCGUGGGUGAGUAGGGCAGCUACUAACAGCCGCAUCCAGGGGCUUGCUGUAGAUACAUCUGGGCAGUAUGGGCUUUGG